rnacentral:lncRNA from 1 species
UGCAAUGAAGGGAGACGCUCCUCUCCCGUCACAGCAUAUGCAUCAAUCUAUCAACACCCAACUGGCCUACUCUCACUGUAAUCAUCCUUGGGAUCAUCUCGACAUGAGAUUUCUACGAUCCUCCACGUUGAUCGGCCCGUCUCAUCACUUGGUGAAACACACAAAUGCCUUGACUAUUUGAUUUGAGAUUUCCUGGAGAGUGCAAAAUAUUUUAUGCACUGUUUUCUUGCGUAGAUCGGAAAAGAAGGCCUAUAGAUGUGAUUGAGAUGAAAUCUACCGCUUUCUACUUCGUCUUCCUCCUCCUCCUGCACUACGCAGUGAGGGUGGGGUCCACUCCGCCGAGUUAUUUCCAUUAAGGCCGCCCGAAUUUGUCGCCUCCUUCUCUGCCUUCGACAGCUCCCUACUCUCCUCGCGUGCUGCUUUCUACCUCCUCUCUCUCUCUCUCUCUCUCUCUCUCUGUCUUUUGUUAUCCGCGCCUCGUUCUUUCNNNNNNNNNNNNNNNNNNNNUCCUCUCUCUCUCUCUCUCUCUCUCUCUCUGCUUUUUGUAUCCGCGCCUCGUCUUUCUUUGCCAUUGAUAGUUUCCCCGGGAUUAGCGGGAUCGAUGACAGGAAGAAGCGAAAGAGGGUACCGGGAAGAAGCGUAGUCGGUGCCGGGAGAGGGAGGAG